rnacentral:sRNA from 1 species
ACAGCGAUGGGUCCCUUGAUGGUAUCAGACCAUCCCUCCUGUUUGAAAUCAAAAAAAUCAAAUAAGUCGUGGAGUAGAUAUAUGAAAGGUGCUUCGGCUGUGUUUGCAUAUCACAUCUCGAAAGGCGAAAAGAUCACAGUGUUAUCCCCACCUCCUCCAACUCGAUUCCACCCAGAUGGCUUGACCAAUUAUCAAGCUCUAGAGGAGCCGGUUCUGAAAGGUGCAAUUAGAGGGUCUGCGGUAUCAUGCAUUGAAAUGGUGCAUCCGACCGUCAAGGGAGCCGAGGAUUUCUGUUACCAGGUGUGGCCGGCCGAUGACGCCCGUCUCUGGAUUGCAAAGUUCGGGAUGCUGCCUCCAAAGGAACACUGGAGAAUAGUAUCGCCCAAGAAACAAAACCUAAUAGUGAGCCAAACAGAAAUCUUUAUCUCAACGAAGACCAAUAUGCAAAAUGUGUCAGGGUCAGCAAAGGCUCUGACGGAGAAGCAGAAGAGGGAGAAGAAGGAGGUGGAGAUGAGGAAGAAGGUGGAGAAAAAUAUGGAGGAAAAAAGGAAGAUGGAGGAGAAAAGAAAGAUGAAGGAAAAAAGGAAGAUGGAGGAGAAGAGGAAGAUGGAGGAGAAGAGAAAGAUGAAGGAAAAAAGGAAGAUGGAGGAGAAGAGGAAGAUGGAGGAGAAGAGAAAGAUGAAGGAAAAAAGGAAGAUGGAGGAGAAGAGGAAGAUGGAGGAGAAGAGGAAGAUGAAGGAAAAAAGGAAGAUGGAGGAGAAGAGGAAGAUGAAGGAAAAAAGGAAGAUGGAGGAAACGAGGAAGAUGGAGGAGAAAAGGAAGAGGAAGGAAAAGAGGAAGAUGGAGGAAACGAGGAAGAUGGAGAAGAGGAGGAAGAGAUAACUACCAGCGAUGCUUCCA